UUAAUAGCUCAGUCGGUAGAACACGAGUCUCUUUAUCUCAGGGUUGUGGGUUUGACUCCCAUGCUGGGCAAAA